GGGGGAUAUGGCGAAAUCGGUAGACGCUACGGACUAAAAUCCGUCGACUUUAAAAAUCGUGAGGGUUCAAGUCCCUCUAUCCCC
rnacentral:tRNA from 1 species